CACCCCAAGCUCAGGAGUUACACAAGGAGCCUGUAUAGGAGACAGCCAGGGAGGCCGAGGAGCUUGCCAGCACCAUCCUUUGCAUCUGAAGAACAACAGCACCAAAUGAUCUUGGUAGGAAGAGGUGUCUCUGUUGUCCUUUGCCGGGGGGGCUCUGCAAGGAGCUGCAGCCUAUUGGAGAGGCACAGAUUUUCCUCCUCCCAGUGACAAAGGAGAAGAAAAACCUAGGGGCGGGAGAAGGAAGUAAGUUCCCCUCACCACAACAAUGCAGGACCGGGGAAUAUACAGGAGUUUCUGAACCAGCCUUCCCUGGUUGAUGACAAUAGUCCACCAAACCCAGCUGCAGGUCCCAGUGUCCCUGGAGAACCUUCUGGAUUCAGUUUUCUGCCUUCCACGCUACGUGCUGCACGGUAUUCUUUAAAUUACAGUUUCUACAAGCUCAUGUAAAUAUCUUGUGUCAGAGUGUUAAAUAGUGCUGGUUUUAAGCAUUAGUGUCAUAUUCCACAACACAGCUCUUAACAUUUCCAAAAACUGGAAAUUUUGAGCAGAUUCUGACUUACUCUGGUUUAAAUGUGAAGAAACUCCACUGACUGAAAGUAAAACUGUAAAUAAAGCUAUAUUGGCUUGUU